UUUUUAUUUUUCUUGUUUUGUUUUUCUUAUUUUGUUUUUCUUGUUUUUUUUUUGUUUUUUUUUCUUUUUGAAUUCAUUCACUUUA
rnacentral:ribozyme from 13 species